rnacentral:rRNA from 1 species
GAUGAACGCUGGCGGCGUGCUUAACACAUGCAAGUCGAACGGAAAGGCCACAGCUUGCUGUGGUACUCGAGUGGCGAACGGGUGAGUAACACGUGGGUGAUCUGCCCUGUACUUCGGGAUAAGCUUUGGAAUCUGGGUCUAAUACCGGAUAGGAAUCACAUGUGGGUGUGUGGUUGGAAAGCUUUUGCGGUAUGGGAUGAGCUCGCGGCCUAUCAGCUUGUUGGUGGGGUAAUGGCCUACCAAGGCGUCGACGGGUAGCCGGCCUGAGAGGGUGUACGGCCACAUUGGGACUGAGAUACGGCCCAGACUCCUACGGGAGGCAGCAGUGGGGAAUAUUGCACAAUGGGCGCAAGCCUGAUGCAGCGACGCCGCGUGGGGGAUGACGGCCUUCGGGUUGUAAACUCCUUUCGUCAGGGACGAAGCGAAAGUGACGGUACCUGGAUAAGAAGCACCGGCUAACUACGUG